rnacentral:rRNA from 1 species
GACGAACGCUGGCGGCGUGCUUAACACAUGCAAGUCGAACGGAAAGGCCCUGCUUUUGUGGGGUGCUCGAGUGGCGAACGGGUGAGUAACACGUGAGUAACCUGCCCUUGACUUUGGGAUAACUUCAGGGAACUGGGGCUAAUACCGGAUAGGAGCUCCUGCUGCAUGGUGGGGGUUGGAAAGUUUCGGCGGUUGGGGAUGGACUCGCGGCUUAUCAGCUUGUUGGUGGGGUAGUGGCUUACCAAGGCUUUGACGGGUAGCCGGCCUGAGAGGGUGACCGGCCACAUUGGGACUGAGAUACGGCCCAGACUCCUACGGGAGGCAGCAGUGGGGAAUAUUGCACAAUGGGCGGAAGCCUGAUGCAGCAACGCCGCGUGCGGGAUGACGGCCUUCGGGUUGUAAACCGCUUUCGCCUGUGACGAAGCGUGAGUGACGGUAAUGGGUAAAGAAGCACCGGCUAACUACGUA